rnacentral:rRNA from 1 species
AGUGAACGCUGGCGGUAGGCCUAACACAUGCAAGUCGAACGGCAGCACAGUAAGAGCUUGCUCUUACGGGUGGCGAGUGGCGGACGGGUGAGGAAUACAUCGGAAUCUACUUUUUCGUGGGGGAUAACGUAGGGAAACUUACGCUAAUACCGCAUACGACCUACGGGUGAAAGCAGGGGAUCUUCGGACCUUGCGCGAUUGAAUGAGCCGAUGUCGGAUUAGCUAGUUGGCGGGGUAAAGGCCCACCAAGGCGACGAUCCGUAGCUGGUCUGAGAGGAUGAUCAGCCACACUGGAACUGAGACACGGUCCAGACUCCUACGGGAGGCAGCAGUGGGGAAUAUUCGACAAUGGGCGAAAGCCUGAUCCAGCCAUACCGCGUGGGUGAAGAAGGCCUUCGGGUUGUAAAGCCCUUUUGUUGGGAAAGAAAAGCAGCAGAUUAAUCCCCCGCUGUUCUGACGGUACCCAAAGAAUAAGCACCGGCUAACUACGUG